CUGAUUUUGGACCCUCUG
rnacentral:misc_RNA from 1 species